UGGGGAAUAUUGCACAAUGGGCGCAAGCCUGAUGCAGCCAUGCCGCGUGUGUGAAGAAGGCCUUCGGGUUGUAAAGCACUUUCAGCGGGGAGGAAGGCGUUAAGGUUAAUAACCUUGGCGAUUGACGUUACCCGCAGAAGAAGCACCGGCUAACUCCGUGCCAGCAGCCGCAGUAAUACGGAGGGUGCAAGCGUUAAUCGGAAUUACUGGGCGUAAAGCGCACGCAGGCGGUCUGUCAAGUCGGAUGUGAAAUCCCCGGGCUCAACCUGGGAACUGCAUUCGAAACUGGUAGGCUAGAGUCUUGGAGAGGGGGGUAGAAUUCCAGGGGUAGCGGUGAAAUGCGUAGAGAACUGGAAGAAUACCGGUGGCGAAGGCGGCCCCCUGGACAAAGAAUGACGCUCAGGUGCGAAAGCGUGGGGAGCAAACAGG
rnacentral:rRNA from 1 species